rnacentral:rRNA from 1 species
GUUUAGGGGUAAAACUGANNACCCGAAGUUCGAAGGGAGAAAUUCAUUCGCGUUUCGGUGCUGUCGUGGAGUCGGUUCAAAUAUGUGAUGGAAUUGCUGGUGUCUUGUGCAUUUUGCGAUUCUGUCCAUCCGAUUUCAUUUUGUGUUAUGGCAUCGAACGCGUGCACUUUUCUCCUGGUAGGACGUCGCGAUCCGUUGGGUGUCGAUUUAAGGCUGGUUGCAGUGUAGCUCGUAGAAUCCGGGUCCCUUUAUCGGGAUUUGUGUGUUUUACGAACCUGUACUUGUUUCCCGAUCGACUCGCUCGACGGUAUACGAACGGUUGUGGGCCGCUAAUUUUCACUAAUUAGCGUUCGGCUUACGGCAAGCGCUUUGGUUCAUUUAUGUGUUGACGAUCGGACUUUGUGCCGAUUUCGACCGCCAUUGGCUGUUGGCUGUAAUGUUCUCGAACAGACCCACUAAUUUUUUAACGAAAAUUAAAUGCAACCGAUCUGCGACGCUAUAGCUUUGGGUAAUUUCAGGACCCGUCUUGAAACACGGACCAAGGAGUCUAGCAUGUGCGCAAGUCAUUGGGAAUAAUACUAAACCUAAAGGCGCAAUGAAAGUAAAGGUUUACUAUUUACGUGAACCGAGGGAAGAAGAGUGGUGUUUGCCUUUAAAAGCAGCCGCUCUGCAUUCCCGGGGCGUCUCGUUCUCAUUGCGAGAUGAGGCGCACCAAGAGCGUACACGCUGGGACCCGAAAGAUGGUGAACUAUGCCUGGUCAGGACGAAGUCAGGGGAAACCCUGAUGGAGGUCCGUAGCGAUUCUGACGUGCAAAUCGAUCGUCGGAACUGGGUAUAGGGGCGAAAGACUAAUCGAACCAUC